rnacentral:lncRNA from 1 species
CUGGGAAAUUAUGAAAACACAAAUUCGAAAAUUGGAGACACACAAUCGGGACAAUGUUCGGGGUAUUAAACGUUUACGAUACGAUACGAGACACGAUACAGAGUCAACACAAAUUGUGUUUAAUUUUAAAACAAGAUAAAGUUUAACGAAAAUAGCAAAAAGUUCGAUGCGAUAUCGAAAGGCAAUAAGAAAUUAGCAGACUUAUUGAAAAUUCCAUAUGAGUGGAGGGGAGGCAGAGAGGGAAGAAAUUGCAUCAAGGCGGUGCCAGCUUUGAUGUAUUCUGGCCAUAACGACUCUCGGCAAUUGCUUGCUGACAUGCAAAGAACAUAAUUUUUUCAGUCCAAAACGAAAUUGAUAAACAAUCUCCGUCGUGGUGGUGGUGGUGUUUGCACUUUGCCGGCAAAAGCGAAGACAACUCAAUUGAUUUGUUUACAAGUGCCAUUAAUGUUAGUUGGCAUCAGCACUAGCUCCGUGCCCUGCCCCUCCCUGGUAUGUAAAUGGUUGCCCUCGCCUCCCCAACAUUUCCAUAAACUUGCUGCACUUUUUGUUCCCGUUUCGUAUCUUAUCUGGGGCACUCUUCGGGGCAUUUGAUCGUCAUCGCCAUCGUAGUUUGCUCUUAUUUUCGAUGUAGUUUCAUUUUCCAUUUCCUUUGAUUUUGUCCCUCCCUUAUCUCUUCUCCCAUGCGACUUCAAUUUGUUUUCAAUUUACAACAAUUUCGUUUCAGGUCGUUUUGUCAAUAUGAU